CACGUAGGGCGCAAGCGUUGUCCGGAAUUAUUGGGCGUAAAGAGCUCGUAGGCGGUCUGUUACGUCUGCUGUGAAAACCCAGGGCUUAACCCUGGGCUUGCAGUGGAUACGGGCAGACUAGAGGCAGGUAGGGGAGAAUGGAAUUCCCGGUGUAGCGGUGAAAUGCGCAGAUAUCGGGAGGAACACCGGUGGCGAAGGCGGUUCUCUGGGCCGUAACUGACGCUGAGGAGCGAAAGCAUGGGGAGCGAACAGG
rnacentral:rRNA from 1 species